AGCCUGCUUCUGAUUCUGUGUUUCCUUCUCUCUCUGUCCCUCCCCCACUCAUGCUCUGUCUGCCUCUCUCUGUCUCAGAAAUAAAUAAACAUUAAAAGAAAUUUAAAAAAAAAAUCAGGAACUAUCAGAAAUAUGACGUGAACCAAAGCUAACUUUUGAUCUUUAUAGUCUGAGUAAUGAUUAAAACAAAGGAUAUUCAGGGAAUACUCUACCUUUCAGAAAAUGUAUUUGAAUUUGUGGUACAUAAAUAUUAAUGUUUUUCAGAAUAUCAGUUCAAAGGAGAUACUUGAAUUGUUAUUUAAAUCAAACCAGAUGUAAAAAUCUCAUUUUGUUUUUAUGUUCUCACUUCAAAAGAGAGAAGCUACCUACAAUGGCAAAUUUUUAGGAACAAUAACUUACAUACCACAUUUCGGCUGAACAUUUCAGCUCUUUAAAGACGUGGCAUAUUUGGGGGCCAGAUAAGGAAUAAAUUACUGUCUCAUAUAAACAUCUGACUCU